UACGUAGGGGGCAAGCGUUAUCCGGAAUUAUUGGGCGUAAAGAGUACGCAGGUGGCAACCUAAGCGCAGGGUUUAAGGCAAUGGCUCAACCAUUGUUCGCCCUGCGAACUGGGAUGCUUGAGUGCAGGAGAGGAAAGCGGAAUUCCUAGUGUAGCGGUGAAAUGCGUAGAUAUUAGGAGGAACACCAGUGGCGAAGGCGGCUUUCUGGACUGUAACUGACACUGAGGUACGAAAGCGUGGGGAGCAAACAGG
rnacentral:rRNA from 1 species